AUCGCUUCUCGGCCUUUUGGCUAAGAUCAAGUGUAGUAUCUGUUCUUAUCAGAAACUGCGCUCUUGGUCUUUUGGCUAAGACAGCGGUCACCUCCCUUUGGAAGGAAAACAUUUGCCUGUUGUGGCACUGUUUUCUGCUCCUCAUUUGGGAGGAUAUUGUAUUGUAUUGGUGCAUUGUUCCUCUGUUAUUCA